UGCUGCGGAUGCCCUAAGAGUUUUUCAAGCUCGUUCAAUCCUAUACACGCUCAUUUUUAUUUAACCAUUUAUGGUUCAAAAAUAACCAUUUUAUGGUUUUAACUAUAGAACUGCCAAUAUGGUUAUUUUUUAACAAUUUUUUCCAAUGCAAUUUCAACCAUUAUUCCAGUUCUUAUGCUAUAACCAAAAAAAUGGUUAAAUAUUUCUCCGCCAUUUUUCAAUUGUACAUUCUUGCAACCACACUUGUUGUUGGUUGUGAUAAAAUAAUUGAAAAAUUGGCGUGAAAAUUGUUUUGCUAUCAAUAAACAAUAAAAUAUGAAGGAGGUGCUAAUAACGAACGAGGAUCCGUCGGAAUUAUUUUCUUUUCCGUUUUGCAUACCUACUACACUUAUAACCAGCACACAGCGGAUUGGUGAUUCGGACACUGGCCUCAGAUUCCAGACAAUGCAUAUUGAACCACACCUUCCGACACUUUAACAGGGAAAAGCUGCGAGGGAUCCUGAUGCCUGCUAAUAAUACCAUUGCAGACCUGUCCGGAGCUCGUUAACAGCACCGCUGAGCAAACACGAACAGCCGGGAGAACGAUGGUUGUUGUUACAGCUUCUUGGGCUAUUAAUCGACUCCAUUCCUGCUGGUUAAGCGGCCAAUCGAACAAUUUACGGAACGUGAAUCUUAUUCCUGAAUUCCUGUAUUGAGAUCUAUCUCAUCGCAAGAAAAAAAAUAUUCGGCCGUUUUUUGCAACCAAUGUGGCACUGAAGAUAGGAUUUGUGGCCAGCAUGUGUAUCAGAACACUAGAGGAUCUGGGAUUAUGGUGGAAAAACGCUGGAUUAGAAAGUUUUCCUGGUGCACACCGAUGAGAUUAUCAGCCAGGUGCGUCUGAUGGACAAAUAAAUUAGGAUCAUUCAGAAUGAAGUCAUGAGGAUCUCGCACGAACUACAAACAAAGAACGAAAAUUUCAAGGAUUAACACCGAAAAAAUCGAGGCUUCCCUAUCUAGUGUCGAAUGUGAGCUGCUGAAUGUGGAUCCCCGAAUGCAGACGUUUCGCUCUGUAAAGGAGCUGCCGGAUUACUGUGCCGGAAUCAAGAACGUCCAAUCGAUGUAGGAAAGUUUUAACCAGAAGCUGGUAUUUCUCAGCAAAUCAUGACGGAGAUAAGGGCCUUCGUGAGCUUUUGGAAAUAUCGCGGAAUCACUCUAAAGGACAAAAAAAAUAAUGGUUGAUGGUACUUGUCAAACUGGGGAUAGUGACUAUGGUCUGUGACAGUACAUUCCGCUCAGUAAAAGAUCUUCCGGACUAUUGAACCGAAAUCCAUCCCACAGAAGCGCAUGCGUAAUGUGCGGCGAUUCGGCCCGGAGGGAAUACAUCUUCAUCGGCUUACCUUCA